UACGUAGGUGACAAGCGUUAUCCGGAUUUAUUGGGCGUAAAGCGCACGCAGGCGGCCAUUCAAGUCUGACGUGAAAUCUCUCGGCUUAACCGGGAGCGGUCGUUGGAAACUGAGUGGCUUGAGGCGAUGAGAGGGGUGUGGAAUUCCCGGUGUAGUGGUGGAAUGCGUAGAUAUCGGGGGGAACAUCAGUGGCGAAAGCGGCACCCUGGCAUUAGCCUGACGCUCAUGUGCGAAAGCGUGGGGAGCAAACAGG
rnacentral:rRNA from 1 species